AUGGCCAUUUUCGGUCUGGGGGCUCGAUAUCCUCAGCCCCUUCCCCCAAGCAAUCGUGGCUUUGAGUUCUUGUUCAUUGCUAUCGACAAGUUUACAAAGUGGCGGGAAGUGACUUCCAUGAGAAAGGUGACUGCCCGGUCAGCUAUCAAGUUCUUGAAAGAUCUGGUGUGUUGUUUUGGAGUUCCGGCAAGGAUCAUACCGACAACGGCACCCAGUUCACGAGUCGUGCCUUCAUGCAAUAUGUUCAUGCCCUCGGAUGCAAGAUCUCAUCCGCCUCUGUGGCACACCCUCAGAGCAAUGGACAAGCUGAGAGGGCGAAUGCUGAAGUGUUGUGUGGACUCAAGACAAGAACCUUUGAUAUGCUGCAGAAGCACGGCUGGCAGUGGAUCAAGGAGCUGCCCGUAG
rnacentral:rRNA from 1 species